AUGGCUACAGCUGGAUUUAAACCCCCAACUUCCAGCAUGCAAGACACACACCUAACCCAUUACACCAACACACCACUUAGCAUUAACUUAAGCUGUGUAGCGGCAAUGCUUGUUAAUAAGACAGAAUUAUGUGUUGAUGUGCUUUCCAAAAUGAGGCCUCAUCUCUCCCUUCAUCUCUGUGGUGCAGGCACAGAGAAGCUAUUCAUGCAGACUGUAGGUUUGGAUUUUUUUUCCCUUAAUAAUAAAAACCUUCAUUUAAAAACUGCAUUUUGUGUUAUCUUUCUCUAGUAUUUCAAUUUGUUUGAUGAUCUGAAACAUUUGAGUGUGACAAACAUGAAAAAAAAUAAGAAAUCAGGAAGGGGGCAAAC
rnacentral:lncRNA from 1 species